rnacentral:tRNA from 14 species
AUUGGUGUAAUGGAUAGCAUCAAAGACUUCUAAUCUUUGGAUCUGGGUUCGAUUCCC